rnacentral:rRNA from 1 species
GAUGAACGCUGGCGGCGUGCCUAAUACAUGCAAGUCGAGCGAACGGACGAGAAGCUUGCUUCUCUGAUGUUAGCGGCGGACGGGUGAGUAACACGUGGAUAACCUACCUAUAAGACUGGGAUAACUUCGGGAAACCGGAGCUAAUACCGGAUGAUAUUUUGAACCGCAUGGUUCAAAAGUGAAAGACGGUCUUGCUGUCACUUAUAGAUGGAUCCGCGCUGCAUUAGCUAGUUGGUAAGGUAACGGCUUACCAAGGCAACGAUGCAUAGCCGACCUGAGAGGGUGAUUGGCCACACUGGAACUGAGACACGGUCCAGACUCCUACGGGAGGCAGCAGUAGGGAAUCUUCCGCAAUGGGCGAAAGCCUGACGGAGCAACGCCGCGUGAGUGAUGAAGGUCCUCGGAUCGUAAAACUCUGUUAUUAGGGAAGAACAUAUGUGUAAGUAACUGUGCACAUCUUGACGGUACCUAAUCAGAAAGCCACGGCUAACUACGUG